rnacentral:lncRNA from 1 species
UUUGAGUAGAUGAUUGGGACUGGGUUCGUUGGAGUAUGGUUGAGGUGAACAUUGAGUUUGUUGAUCAGAAUUAGGUAAAUUUUAAUUUCAUAUGUAUAUAUCCAUCCGAUCCUUAUUUAACGAUUAUUGAAGAAUCAAGGCCUUAAGGAUUGUUAUAGUUGAGAUAUAUGGUUAUUGGGAAAGUUUGCAUGAAGAACAUAUCCACGGGGAUCAGUAAGAGGGUAACGUGUGAAGAUAGGGAGGGUGAACCAAUA